ACUCUUCAGAACUGAGAUUGUCCGAGGCAUCGCUGAGCCCACUGCUGAUACUGCUGCUCUCAUCCCAGCUGUAGGACAAGAGAGAAAUACCAGGAGGUUAAGACAGAAGUCACACCUGGAGAGGUUUUUCAGAUCGCUUGAGGAAUAGUUUGUCCUUAGAGAGAAGAUUUACUACUGUAAAGCGCCAUCUGGAAGAGAGGACUACAGGAUGAGGAAACAACCUGAGGAAGAUUCAAGGAUUUACCCAGGGUCUCACAAUUACCAUUCAGUUGUGUAUGACUCUUCUGACUCGUGGAUGGAGCUGUUCAUGGGGUUUUCUUGGCAAAGAUGCUAAAGUGGUUUGCCAUUUCCUUCUCCAGUGGAUUAAGGCAAACAGGUUCAAUGACUCGCCCAGGGUCAAUCAGAAUUCCAGUGGUUCCCUUGGGAGAACUACGAGAACAGCGGAUGAAGUAAGGAUCACCCUGGCCCAAGUUAAUGGCAGGGCAACAUAACUUUGUGUGACCUCUUUAUCUUCUAGUAUUUUCCUUCCUUUAAGUGAGAAGAAAACAAAUAGCCAUAACAUUUGGAGACUCAGAAACAAGGUGGGACAUGUUUACUGGAGAUCAUGUAAGCUUUCUGCUCAUAAUUCUAUUAUUGCUGAGUUUCUGUGUGGCUUUAUUGAAGUCCUA